rfam:Ixodes scapularis strain Wikel colony gcontig_1108378253918, whole genome shotgun sequence.
GCAAUCGUGGCUGAGUGGUUAAGGCGAUGGAUUAGAAAUCCAUUGGGGUCUCCCCGCACAGGUUCGAAUCCUGCCGACUGUG